UACAGAGGGUGCGAGCGUUGUCCGGAUUUAUUGGGCGUAAAGAGCUCGUAGGCGGUUCGAUAAGUCGGACGUGAAAUCUCCACGCUCAACGUGGAGGGGCCGUUCGAUACUGUCGUGACUCGAGUCCGGUAGGGGAGUGUGGAAUUCCCGGGUGUAGCGGUGCAAAUGCGCAGAGAAUCGGGAGGAACACCCGUAGCGAAGGGCGGGUCUCCUGGGCCGA
rnacentral:rRNA from 1 species